rnacentral:tRNA from 1 species
UGGGGUGAGGCUCAGCAGUAGAGCGCUUGCCUAGCAGGCACCAGGCCCUGGGUUCAAUUUCCAGCACCCUAU